rnacentral:rRNA from 1 species
AUGAACGCUGGAGGCGUGCCUAAUACAUGCAAGUCGAGCGAACGGACGAGAAGCUUGCUUCUCUGAUGUUAGCGGCGGACGGGUGAGUAACACGUGGAUAACCUACCUAUAAGACUGGGAUAACUUCGGGAAACCGGAGCUAAUACCGGAUGAUAUUUUGAACCGCAUGGUUCAAAAGUGAAAGACGGUCUUGCUGUCACUUAUAGAUGGAUCCGCGCUGCAUUAGCUAGUUGGUAAGGUAACGGCUUACCAAGGCAACGAUGCAUAGCCGACCUGAGAGGGUGAUCGGCCACACUGGAACUGAGACACGGUCCAGACUCCUACGGGAGGCAGCAGUAGGGAAUCUUCCGCAAUGGGCGAAAGCCUGACGGAGCAACGCCGCGUGAGUGAUGAAGGUCUUCGGAUCGUAAAACUCUGUUAUUAGGGAAGAACAUAUGUGUAAGUAACUGUGCACAUCUUGACGGUACCUAAUCAGAAAGCCACGGCUAACUACGUG